GACCUGAGCCCUAGGACCAUGCCUCAGGAUUACCUGGCAUGAUGACUCCUUGCUGUCCCCAGUCCACCUGGCCGUGCUGCUGCUCCAGUUUCAACUGUUCUGCCUGCGGCUAUGGAACCCUGACCUGUUCACCGGACGUGCUUGUUGCACCCUCGACAACUACUAUCAUUAUUAUUAUUUGACCAUGCUGGUCAUUUAUGAACAUUUUAACAUCUUGACCAUGUUCUGUUAUAAUAUCCACCCGGCACAGCCAGAAGAGGACUGGCCACACCUCAUAGCCUGGUUCCUCUCUAGAUAGGGGGAGAUCGCGAACGUCAGGUCUUCCCAGUAUGAAAAUGUGAUGCAAGGGGUAGGUCAAUAACUGAAUACUGUUUUCUAUUUUCUAUUUUACAAUGUGUACAAGUUUGCUGUACAUUACUGAUUUAUACAUGUGUGGGUAUGUGGUACCUGUUAGGGAUUGAGGGACUUUCUGGGAUGUGCUUUGGCAUAUGAUUGCUGUAAAUAAGUGUGUUAGCUAGCAUACACCAACGUAAUGGUCACGUAAGCCCACUGCUAACACAAUUUUCUUCAUGCUACAGAUUUUGCCAUCGACAGCCAUCAAUACCGUUAAGCCCUGCACAACUGAC
rnacentral:lncRNA from 1 species